UCCCAAGUGGUCUAGUGGUUAGGAUUCCGCGCUCUCACCGCGGCGGCCGGGGGUUCGAUUCCCCGCUUGGGAA